CCUACGGGAGGCAGCAGUGAGGAAUAUUGGUCAAUGGGCGAGAGCCUGAACCAGCCAAGUCGCGUGAGGGAGUACUGCCCUAUGGGUUGUAAACCUCUUUUGUCGGGGAGCAAAAGCCGGACGUGUCCGGCUGUGAGAGUACCCGAAGAAAAAGCAUCGGCUAACUCCGUGCCAGCAGCCGCGGUACUACGGAGGAUGCGAGCGUUAUCCGGAUUUAUUGGGGUUAAAGGGUGCGCAGGCGGAUUUUUAAGUCAGCGGUCAAAUCGUGGGGCUCAACCCCAUCCAGCCGUUGAAACUGGGGAUCUAGAGUGUGCGAGAGGUAUGCGGAAUGCGUGGUGUAGCGGUGAAAUGCAUAGAUAUCACGCAGAACCCCGAUUGCGAAGGCAGCAUACCGGUGCACAACUGACGCUCAGGCACGAAAGCGUGGGUAUCGAACAGGAUUAGAUACCCCUGUAGUC
rnacentral:rRNA from 1 species